rfam:Trichobilharzia regenti genome assembly, scaffold: TRE_scaffold0101273
AUCCAGAUGACGAGUCCCAAAUAAGACGAAAUGCACAUCCUGGAU